GGCAGAGGGUGCGAACGUUGCUCGGAAUUACUGGGCGUAAAGCGCGUGUAGGCGGACUGGUAAGUCGGACGUGAAAUCCCUGGGCUCAACCCAGGAACUGCAUCCGAAACUAUCAGUCUGGAGUGGUGGAGAGGAAAGCAGAAUUCCUGGUGUAGAGGUGAAAUUCGUAGAUAUCAGGAGGAACACCGGUGGCGAAGGCGGCUUUCUGGACACUAACUGACGCUGAGACGCGAAAGCGUGGGGAGCAAACAGG
rnacentral:rRNA from 1 species